rnacentral:rRNA from 1 species
UACGAAGGGUGCAAGCGUUACUCGGAAUUACUGGGCGUAAAGCGUGCGUAGGUGGUUGUUUAAGUCUGUUAUGAAAGCCCUGGGCUCAACCUGGGAAUUGCAGUGGAUACUGGGCGACUAGAGUGUGGUAGAGGGUAGUGGAAUUCCCGGUGUAGCAGUGAAAUGCGUAGAGAUCGGGAGGAACAUCCAUGGCGAAGGCAGCUACCUGGACCAACACUGACACUGAGGCACGAAAGCGUGGGGAGCAAACAGG